GGGGGGGGGGGGGGGGGGGGCGGGUGGAGGGGAGUAGGGGGCGGGGGUUAGGCCGGAGCUUUGGACACCAUAGCCGGUGAGUUGCGAACGAGUGAGUAACUCGUAGUUAACCUGCCUUGUAGCGGGGGAUAACUAGUGGGAACGAGCGCUAAUACAUCAUGAUAUUGUUUAUUACAUGAUAAUUGAUUGAAAGCUCCUAAUGCACAACUACCAGAUGGACCUGCGUAGUAUUACCGAGUAGGUGAGGUAACGGCUCACCUAGGCGACGAUACAUAGCCGACCGGAGAUGGUGAUCGGCCACACUGGGACUGAGACACGGCCCAGACUCCUACGGGAGGCAGCAGUAGGGAAUCUUCGGCAAUGGACGAAAGUCUGACCGAGCAACGCCGCGUGAGUGAAGAAGGUUUUCGGAUCGUAAAGCUCUGUUGUAAGAGAAGAACGGGUGUGAGAGUGGAAAGUUCACACUGUGACGGUAUCUUACCAGAAAGGGACGGCUAACUACGUG
rnacentral:rRNA from 1 species